rnacentral:rRNA from 1 species
GACGAACGCUGGCGGCGUGCUUAACACAUGCAAGUCGAACGGAAAGGCCCUGCUUUUGUGGGGUGCUCGAGUGGCGAACGGGUGAGUAACACGUGAGUAACCUGCCCUUGACUUUGGGAUAACUUCAGGAAACUGGGGCUAAUACCGGAUAGGAGCUCCUGCUGCAUGGUGGGGGUUGGAAAGUUUCGGCGGUUGGGGAUGGACUCGCGGCUUAUCAGCUUGUUGGUGGGGUAGUGGCUUACCAAGGCUUUGACGGGUAGCCGGCCUGAGAGGGUGACCGGCAGCAUGGGCGACAGGAGGCCGCCGAGGCGCGUACGAGAGGCAGUAGAGGAGAAGUAUCCAAACGGGCGGCCAGCGGGAUGCGGCGCCCGCGCGUGGGGGACCCCGCCCUGGGGGCUGUCACCCGCUUCGGGUGGUGAAGGGGUGUGGGUGAAGGUAAUGGGUAACGAAGCACCGGCGAACGAAGUGCAAGCCGCCGGGGUCAAAGACGGAGGAGCAAGCGGCUGACC